UCCAUGUUGAACACGUCAGCAGCAGCUUGUUUACCAGUUGAAGACAAGUGUGUGUUUAUCUCGGGAGGAGUCGGUCGAUAGCAGAAAAGAAACACUUCUGUUCUAACCGCUUGGCAACGCUCGGCGCUCUCUGUCUGCUCUAUACGUGACUGGAGGCAGCGAGGCUUCGCCCGCAGGUCCCUCCUCACCACUUCACCGCCUGUCUUCAUAUCUCCGGGAUCUCAUUUCACCUGCAGUGCUUUUGUGCUGCUGCAGUCUGGCUUGUCAGCAGCGCGAUCCUGCGGUCCAAAUGUGGAAGAUCUGAUUCUAAGAGCUGAUCUGCUGUUGCCCAGCACAUACUUGAGGAUUAGAAAUGUGUGAUUUCGAAGGACUUUGCCCCUGAUAAAGAAACUGGCAUUCCUCCAGAUCAUCUCGCCUGUGUUUGUGAUUCUUUAGAAUCCAUGAAAGUGAGCCAACAUGCAGCUGGAACCAGCUCUCCUUCAUGGAGUACAGUCGUUUUUGAAUGUUCUCAAUAACAAAUGUGCUUUUCCUGCUCUGAUAAGCCAAAAACGCCUGCUGUGACAAAAGUAAA